UGGGGAAUAUUGCACAAUGGGCGCAAGCCUGAUGCAGCAACGCCGCGUGUGGGAUGACGGCCUUCGGGUUGUAAACCGCUUUUAGUGAGGAAGAAGCCUUUUUGGUGACGGUACUUGCAGAAAAAGGACCGGCUAACUACGUGCCAGCAGCCGCGGUAAUACGUAGGGUCCGAGCGUUGUCCGGAAUUAUUGGGCGUAAAGAGCUCGUAGGCGGUUUGUUGCGUCUGCUGUGAAAUCUUCAGGCUUAACUUGGAGUGUGCAGUGGGUACGGGCAGGCUUGAGUGAUGUAGGGGAGACUGGAAUUCCUGGUGUAGCGGUGGAAUGCGCAGAUAUCAGGAGGAACACCGAUGGCGAAGGCAGGUCUCUGGGCAUUUACUGACGCUGAGGAGCGAAAGCGUGGGGAGCGAACAGGAUUAGAUACCCCCGUAGUCC
rnacentral:rRNA from 1 species